rnacentral:ncRNA from 1 species
UUAGGUGCCCCUUGUGGUUAAACGGGAAAUUGGUGAGUUUUUUAACGAUUCCAAUACUGCCCCCGCAACGGUGAUCGACGUCAAUCUGUAUCUAGGCAACUUUGCCUAGCCACUGUGUUGUUAAAACACGGGAAGGCGAUACAGAAGAAUGCAAGCAUUCGCGUCGUGAGUCCGGAGACCGGCCUUCAAUA